AUUGAACGCUGGCGGCAUGCCUUACACAUGCAAGUCGAACGGCAGCACGGGGGCAACCCUGGUGGCGAGUGGCGAACGGGUGAGUAACACAUCGGAACGUGCCCAGUAGUGGGGGAUAGCUCGGCGAAAGCCGGAUUAAUACCGCAUACGACCUACGGGUGAAAGCGGGGAGUCGCAAGACCUCGCGCUAUUGGAGCGGCCGAUGUCAGAUUAGGUUGUUGGUGGGGUAAAGGCCUACCAAGCCGACGAUCUGUAGCUGGUCUGAGAGGACGACCAGCCACACUGGGACUGAGACACGGCCCAGACUCCUACGGGAGGCAGCAGUGGGGAAUUUUGGACAAUGGGCGCAAGCCUGAUCCAGCCAUGCCGCGUGCGGGAAGAAGGCC
rnacentral:rRNA from 1 species